AUGGAAAAGGUUUGGAAGACUGGACAACAGGAGACAUCUUUGCACUCACAACAGAAGGGUCUAUCAAUCGAGACUAUCACGUGAAGCCGCGUGUAAACAGAUCAAGUAUGGAUUCGUGACUACGCCGUUAGAAUAGAUAGAUGGUGUGUAAAUAUUAUGAAGAUGUUUUUUUAAUUUAGAUGUUAAAGGCUUACUAACAGUAUAGGUACUACUACUAGACUUGCAUUGGAUACAAUGGUUACUGGUGAAAAUAAUUAGCUGGUAAUGCCAAGUUCAUACUCUCGAAGUUCACUUGCUGACGGUACAUAUCCAGGAGCUUAGCCUUGCUAUGAUCUGGCGGGGGAAAAUUGAUGAUUUGGGACCUACUCUGUGACAGUUUUCAAUAUUGACAGAUGUUAAUCUGGAAUGACAUUUUCCAAGACUUGCAAGAAUGAAUGAAGAAAUGAGUCUGCAGUAUGAACAGUAUCUCCACUGCUCUCGUUGUUGGCAGAUUUCUGUUGUCGGGUGAAACUAGCCGUACAGCUCAAAAUAAAAUGACGUCACAGCAGUGAUAAUUGUAUGUUUUGUUGUUUUUUCACACAGAGUCGACACCAGUUCGUUUAUUACAAUCCCAGAAAAACAAAUUUCCUCGCUCGAUCAACAAGUAAACCCACUCUUAUCAACUGAUAUGUUUAAUACUACAGGGGAUUGUACAUUUAUGUAGAUAUACUUAUUUUACUAAGAGCUCCGAUAACUGUGUCUACCUGCCUGUCGCCAUUUUGAUGUUUCGGAGGCUGGUAUCAGCCUUGACAUUAUUGCGAAUAUCCCUUUCUUUAGGACUCCACCGUGGGCUUUAUCUCUCAAUCUCUAUUUAGAGAGAUGAGAUCUAAGUAUGGUGAUUAUGCUCAUAUUUACACAGAUGGUUCUAAGGAUGGUGAUCGGGUAACUUAGGCUACCGUGACGCCAUCUGAGACCAUUUCUGUGUGUCUUCCACCUGCUGCUUCAAUAUUUACAGCAGAGCUCCAGGUCAUUCUCCAGGCCUUGGAGUUCAUUCAAUCAUCGCAUCUACUACAGUACAUCAUUUUUACCGAUUCUCUGUCCUCGCUGCAAGCAAUAAACAAUAAACAGCCUGAACACCCAUUAGUAGCAGAUUUUUAUUGUCUGCUACUAUCUUACGAGUUAACAGCAAAGACAUCGUCUUUUGCUGGCUCCCCAGUCACGUUGAUCUAAGGGGGGAUGAUCAUGCAGAUUUUGCUGCCAAAGCUGCUUUAUAUCUCCCCCAAUCACCCUUUUUAAUACCAUAUAAGGAUUUGAAGCUCCAACAAACAAUUUCAUAUAUGGCCGUUGGCAACGAUCUCGGGAUCUUGCAGGCACUAACAAACUUCAUCAUAUUAAGCCUCUCUUGGGAGAUUGGCCAAACUGCUAAAGAACCAACAGGAGAGAUGAGGUUGUUUUGUGUCGCUCUCGUAUAGGUCAAACAUUUUUAACUCACAUUUUCAUCUUAAAGCGAGUGCAAGUUUCUUAAGGACAUCAGAUCGGAGCAUUACCGUUGCCAAUCGUUAAAUCAAUUAUUUGCCCAACCGUGUCUAUACUAGACUUUUUAAAGGAGACAAAUGUUUAUAAUAUUUUUAAUUCUAAAUAUAUAUACUAUUCAAAAAAAGUAGGGGAUAUUUGAUUUUUAAGUGUUAUUAAAGUCACCUAAUGAAACUGACGAAGAAACAAAUGACAAAAUGAAAUGAAGUUCACAUUCAUCGAUUUAUUCCAAAUGAUCGUUAGACUAAGUAAGGCACAGACUGACCAUUAUAAGGGUAAAAUGAUACCCGGGGUCAAACAGCAAAGUUACCACAGCAUCACAACCAAGUCAGUAACGGGUAAAUCCUCCUCUGUUUGCCAAACAAGCAUUUAUCCGACGUGGCAUACUCCUAAUGAGACCUCUAAGGUCAUUUUGGUCCAGAUUGUCCCAUUCCUGUUGCAACGCAGCAGCAAGUUCUUGGACAUUGGCAGGACGUUGUUGACGUUGACGUAACCUCUGUCCAAGCAUGUCCCAGACAUGCUCGAUGGGGGAGAGGUCGGGACUCAGUGCCUCCCCACACCAUAACAGAACCACCCCCAAAUCGAUCAUGUCUGAUGACGUUAACGUCUUGGAAGCGCUCGUUUCGACGACGCCACACCCUCCUACGUCUGUCCAAAAAAUCAACAGUGAACCUUGACUCAUCUGAAAACAUCACAUUGCUCCAGCGUCGAUUAUCCCAGUGUUGACGAUCCCUACACCAACGACGUCUUGCCUGAAUGUGAUGAUCUCUCAAACAAGGGAUCACGCGAGGACGUCGAGCGCGAAGGUGACCCCUAUGCAGUCGAUUCCGAAUCGUCUGGCCACUCACUCUCACACCAGUGUCUGUUUGAAGACGAGCGCUGAUCUGAUUUGCUGUGAUGACACGAUUUCUCAAGGCCAAGGUACGGAUAAAUCGAUCCUGGGCUUGAGUUGUCGCCCUUGGUCGACCUGAGCGUGGUCUGUCCUGUACAGAUUGUGUAUCACGGUAUCUGGACCAUAGCCUGCUUAUGACAGACUGAGAAACAUUCAUCGUCCGCGCCACAACCGCCUGUGUUGUGCCGAUCUGUAGCAUGCCAAGGGCACGUAACCUUUCAUUUUGGGUAAGCCGACGCAUAUCAAAAUUUGUUUUCUGGUCACUAAAACAAUUAAACUGAUGUUUCCACCCUGGAAUUCAAUGCCACAAUGACUGUAACAUUCAAAGUCAGAGUCGUGCAAAUCUUGGGUUGGACCCCCAUGAUGAUCCCAAGCAUCAACUGCAUUCCACGCGGUAGCUAUUGGUGCGUUUGGGCGUCACAUGUAACUGGAAAUGUUUCUUCUGUUAGGUUCUAUAGUGACUUUUUUCGUAGUCAUUUGCAUAUUUUAGUAUUAUGCCCCCAAAAUCAAAUAUCCCCUACUUUUUUUGAAUAGUAUAUAUAUCAUCUUAUUUUUCAUUUUUCAAUAUUAGUGUACAUGAAGUUGUGAUUUUUAUUUUUAUUUGUUUAAUAUACUGUGACAUUUGCUUUUAUUUGUGUACAUGAAUUCUUUGUAUUUCUCCAAGCGUUUUAGAUUAAUAUAUUACAAUUUAUAUCGAUUUCUUGUAAUUUUAUGACUUAAUAAUUCUAUAUAUAUAUUUGAUUUUCGAAAUCACGAGGCAAAUUUAACUAAACACCAGCUGUGUAGCACGUGACUGUUCAACGCAUUGAACCAAAUAUGUCGUCUGCUACAGGCCACUAAACAAAAACCAUCGGUUGCAUCAAUAGCCAAGCGGUCAAACAACUGGACCUAAAAUAGACAUAUUAUUUAUAUUUUCAUAGCAACAGACGUUCAAGCAAUAAUCACCAAGUGCCCACAAAAGAUCAAAAUAUCCAUUUCAAACAAUAGAAAUAAACACCCACGGACACAAUAGAGCAAAGACACUUCACAUAAUAGAAAACAAUUAUCAUAAAAUGCCCUAAAUAGAAACACAGACGAAAGAAAUAAAGUAGCCUCACAACUACUGUUGUCUUUGUCAGGCCCUCCGUCCUGCAUCACUGACAAGGGAAAAGAAAAACGAUCAAAGUCGGGUGGGAAUAUUUAAAGUAAUCAUACAUGUACCUAUCUUAAUACGAAUUCUAGAUAUCAUGUUACGUAUCACUAAAGAACUGGGCCCUGUUUCACGAAAUUUUAACUAAGAUAAAAUCCAAAUUUUAGUAGAUACUUCAAUUUUGAUUGGCUAAGCACUAAAAUCAAUCUAAUAUUAUCCAAUCAAAUUACUAAAAUUUGGAUUUUAUCUUAGUUAAAAUUUCGUGAAACAGGCCCCAGGUUCAUGUUUCUUUUCAAUUAUUUAAAUAAUUUUCUGGCAUUUCGGCGCAGAACAGUAGGACGUUAAACCCCAUUUCAUUUCAUUUCAUUUCAUUUACGUGCACGAUAAAGUAUACACAGGACAUCGGUUUUUCGUCACAUCCAAACGACUAGACAGCUGUCCUUGUCAGGCCCUCUUUCCUGCACCACUGACAAGGUGAAACCACGUGGAAAAACAACGAUAUACUUUCUCGGCCAAUGCAAGGAUCGAAUACGCGACCUACAGGCCAUCCUCGGUUACCCAGUGUACUCAUUCCGUUCUACUCCACUAUACCCUGGCUUAAUCCAUAGGGUUUUCACGAUUUCAAAUUAUCUGCCCUGGCCUAGAAUAUAGCUACAGUCUUCGAACCAAUCAGAAAACAGUUUACAAACCAAUCGUUCCGCCUUCCUUUUAUAAGGGUAGAUAACCAUAUUCAUGUCCAUUUACUGAAUGAUUUAUGUAA